AUACUUACCUGGCAGGUGAGAUACCAUGAUCAUGAAGGUGGUUGGUUGUCCCAGGGCAAGACUUAUCCAUUGCACUCUGGAUGUACUGACCCCUGCAAUUUCCCCAAAUGUGGGAAACUUAACUGCAUAAUUAGUGGUAAUGGGAGACUGUGUUUGCACUAUCCCUAA